rnacentral:lncRNA from 1 species
UUUCUUGUGUGUAUAUAUAUAUAAGACGACAUUAUAGUUUGUUUAGGGGGGUGUGUGUGCGUGAAAUAGAGACCUCUUGCAGUAAAAUGAGAUCCAUUAUACUGUAAGCAGCUGUGUUACUGAAAUGUAAUGUGCCACAGUCCUGUAGGUGUCUGUCUUGUACUGUAAAUACCAUUGUACUGUAAAUACCAGUGCUAUUGUACUGAAUGUACUCUAGGUGCCAGUGUUGUUGUUAUUUAUUAUACUGUAAAUAUAUGUGCCUCAGUCCUGUAGGUGUCUGUCUUGUACUGUAAAUACCAGUGCUAUUGUACUGAAUGUACUCUAGGUGCCAGUGUUGUUGUUAUUUAUUAUACUGUAAAUAUAUGUGCCUCAGUCCUGUAGGUGUCUGUCUUGUACUGUAAAUACCAGUGCUAUUGUACUGAAUGUACUCUAGGUGCCAGUGUUGUUGUUAUUUAUUAUACUGUAAAUAUAUGUGCCACAGUCCUGUAGGUGUCUCCGUGUGUGUGUGUGGUACAGUAAAUAUCAGAGAGAGUAUGUCAGUAGUAGCGGGACAUAAAGCGUCAGGGGAAGUAAUGUAUCUUCGCACACACAUUGGAUUCAGUUGUGGUUACUUCCCCUUACAACAGAUCAUCUGCUUCGCACUCUUUGUGGACGCCGCUAAAUACAGAUCAGGGGUGGAUUUCAUGUUGCGCCUUUAUCCCACUUACCAGCGAAUAACUAGCUUAUCAGCCCUUAAGCGCAAAAAGUGGCUCCCACGUCGAAAUUAUUAGCGAAUAAGUCGGCCUUAUCGCGGGGUAAGUUAUGGUCAGGGGGGACCCGCCUUUACGCGGCUAUUAGCACAGAAAAAUGGCGACUGUAGUAGCUGUGCUCUCGUUAAACAGGCAAAAUCUUCGUCGAAACAGAAUAUUUAGGGACAAUUAUAUCUUUACAAUGAUGUAGAAGUGUACACGAAAUUUGAAUUUCGUGGAGUUGAUAAAAUGUCUAUUGUCUAUGAGGUAGAAGGUGAAUUGGAAAUGUCGAAUCGAGGGAACAAUGUUCGCUAAAGCAGACGAGUAUGCUUUGCACUUCGCAACGAGAACAUUUUUACGUGUGUGUGUGUGCGGCGAUUUGGUCGGAGUUUCCGAAGAGAAAAGUCACCUCGUGAGGAGAGUGACCAAACGCUACUACGACAUGCUCAACGAUAGAUCGUCUUUCCCGACUAGCGAGAGGCAGACAGAAGAGAAAGUUCUAUGCCAGCGGUGGUUUUUCCGAGUGUUGUUGGAUACAUCGGCAUACCCACUUUUCGCCGAAAAUAAUGAGCACCAAUACGUGAAUGGAAAAUAUUUUCAUUCACUGAAUGUUCAGGUUAAUGUUUAUCAACAUGCUUGCAAAGUGGCAUCCAGGGUGUUCGCAGCCUUUGGAAGCAACUGUAGACUAUUGGACCGGGUUAUGCUAGGUGACAGUGGCUGCAUGAUAGGAGAGUGAUUGUUGACACCAUUUCAGCAUCCUGCACCCUUGCAGGAAAGGAAAUACAACACAGCACAUAGCUGUACGUGCAACUGGCAUAGCUAAAAAAAAAAGGCAUUACUCUGGGUCUGAAGAUGGAACCAGAUCAGGCAUGUGAAGUGACUGUGAUCUUCAAUUGGGGAGAGCCAGACAAUGAUGGCGACAAUCAUGAUGUUUGGACAUAACAAUGAUUUAAAUAAGGAAAAUCACUACAAUAAAAUCAAUGACACUGUUUCAAUACAUGAUGCUCCCACAGAAAGAGCCCAUGUUGCAGCAGGCCAAGCUGUCAGGAACCAAUCUGUUUAUAGACUUGUCUUGUAAAUAUGUUAAACCGUAAUUUUAUACAUUUCUGUACAGUUCAUAGUGUCAGAACUAUUUUGAUAACGAAGUUAGAACAUCAACAAUAGACAUAGUCAACAGUUUAGAUGUAGGCCCAACAUGUGUUACAACAGGUCAAGCUGCUAGUAUCCAGUUUUUAAGUAGAUUUUUCUUGUGAAUAUAUCAUAAUUUUAUACUUUUCUGUAGAGUUCACAAUAUCAGAACUACGUGACUGUAGAAAUAGUUAAAUUUUCAUUCUUAUGAAACUUAGUAGCUGUUCAUUCAUACAGAUCUCUUUAGAAAGUAGCAAAUGCAUUUUAACUUUAAUAAAUGAAAGAUGCAGUUUUUCUUGGACAGGACAUUUUAAAAAAUGUAUGAGGUUUCCUUUAUGAAAUUAUUACAUGGGAAAAUUUCAACAUAGGCUUGCAGACAGUAGUGCAUGUGGUGGCCUCUGCAAGUGUUUGUCAAGAGUAGUGGUCAUCACUAAGACAUUUUCUUAAUGCUGUCACUUGCCUAUUAAAAUCUUAUAUUCUUCUUGAACAAUAUUUUACAUGUGCAACUCUUUGGAAUAAAUGUUUGAGGCUUCCA